AACGAACGCUGGCGGCAUGCCUAACACAUGCAAGUCGAACGAGACCUUCGGGUCUAGUGGCGCACGGGUGCGUAACGCGUCGGAACCUGCCCUUAGGCUCGGGAUAACUCCCCGAAAGGGGUGCUAAUACCGGGUAAUUUCUGCGGACCAAACAUUUAUCGUCUUUGUGUGGGCCCGCGUUGGUUUAGCUAGUUGGUAGGGUAAAAGCCUACCACGGCGACGAUACAUAGCUGGUCUGAGAGGAUGAUCAGCCACACUGGGACUGGGACACGGCCCAGACUCCUACGGGAGGCAGCAGUGGGGAAUAUUGGAAAAUGGGCGAAAGCCUGAUCCAGCAAUGCCGGGUGAGUGAUGAAGGCCUUAGGGUUGUAAAGCUCUUUUACCCGGGAUGAUAAUGACAGUACCGGGAGAAUAAGCUCCGGCUAACUCCGUG
rnacentral:rRNA from 1 species